rnacentral:sRNA from 1 species
AUGGACCACGCGUCCACUGCGGGUCUGAGCGCGCUGUCCGCGCCCACCUGAGUGUUGUUAGCCGCGCUUAAUCGGUA